UUUCAUGGAGAGUUUGAUCCUGGCUCAGGACGAACGCUGGCGGCGUGCCUAAUACAUGCAAGUCGAACGGACUUUCAA
rnacentral:rRNA from 1 species